rnacentral:rRNA from 1 species
UACGUAGGGGCCGAGCGUUGUCCGGAGUUAUUGGGCGUAAAGCGCGCGCAGGCGGCCUCGCGCGCCCGACGUGAAAGCCCCCGGCUUAACCGGGGAGGGUCGUUGGGGACGGCGGGGCUUGAGGGCGGGAGAGGUCGGUGGAAUUCCCGGUGUAGUGGUGAAAUGCGUAGAGAUCGGGAGGAACACCUGUGGCGAAGGCGGCGACCUGGGCCAAUAUUGACGCUGAGGUGCGAAGGCGUGGGGAGCAAACAGG